CAGAAAUGUUUCCUUUUAAAAAAAGGAAAUGGUGAAUUACAUUAAAAGCAAAUUAUAUUAGCAAUUUUGUGUGUAAGUUAAAAGCCACCUGCACAAGUACAGGUGGCUAGAAGCCAGAGUCCUUCCAGUGAAAGAGCCUGAGGGUUUAGCUGACCUCAUGUGUGCUAGGUCCCAUCUAUGGCUGGGGCGGAGAAAGCCAGUGGGUCCCUAGCCACCACCCACAGCUAGACAGGGAGUGAGGGAGGCCCUCCCUGUGCCCACAGCUGGUCUGGCCACAGCCCCUGCGCUGCCGGGCUCACUCCCAGCUCCUGUGUUCUGGGAGAGCCGUGAUCCAGGUGAGGCAGAGCCACCCGCAGAGCCAUGAGGAGCAGGAAGUGCCAGGAUCAGUACCCUGAAGUGAUGCAAAGAAAGUGGAGAUGCGGUGGGAGAGAAAGGAGACACCAAAAGUCAUGAGGAGAGAAAUCAUAAUGACCAGAUGGGAAGAGAAAAUGAGUUUUGAAGGAUUACAGCAAAUAUUCACAAGCAUCUCCCAGACUUAAUGCAACUGGAUGAAGAUGAGAUUCUCAGCUCUACUUUCCCCCUCCGCAUUCCCUUUAGCAUCACCAUCGUCAAGGUCGGGUGCUGACCAGGAAUAGGAUGGGAAGGAGGAAGGGCUAUGGUUGCUCUUCGCAUGUUUGUUGUCAUGCUGUUCCGUUCUUCACACACAUGUCCAUCAGGCUCCCUGUCAACCUUCCAUUCCCCCAGGGUAGGCAUAUUUAUGAGUACCAUGUGCCCAGUGAGCUGGGCCACCCCCCCUCCACCACGUGGUGCCAGACUUGAAUGACCUUGUGCUCUGCAAAUAUAUUGGUUUAUCUGCAUUUGUGAUGUGUUUUUAUUUUGCUUUUCUCCCAUUUAUCUGCCUAGCAAACUUCCUUUUGUAAAGAAUGAAUAAAGGAAGCAUAUCCACAGCUGAGCUCAUGGUUAGGGGAAACAGCACACAGGAGGAUGCUUUGGUAGUGACCAGCAUUCCAGCUAAAGAAUGGAGGUUGGGGGAUGAAACAAGGGCACACAAAAACUAAAACUAUUUUUUUCUUUGUUUGCCUAGUUGAUUUGCUGUCCAAGAAUUGGGUGCUUGGACAGCAAAUUAGAGACCAAUACGAUAAGUGAAACAGCCUGCAGCAUAAUUAUCCAUGGGGAUUGUUGAAAAUGCAGAUUUCUGGGCCCCAUGUCAAUUCUGCUGUAUUGGAAUCACUAGGAAUGGGGACCAAUAAUUUUUAUUUUAAAAACUUUUCUUCAUUAGAAAAACAACUUUGUUGACUAUCAUUUAUAUCCAAUGAUAUGCUCCCAUUUUAAGUGCACAGUUCAAUGAAUUUUGACAAAUAUUCAUGCCCUAUUUUAGUCAGUUCCUCUCAUCCUCAGCUCCAGUUAACCACUGACUUGCUGUCUGCCAAUAUAUGUUAGUUUUGUCUGCCGUGGAAUUUCACAUAAAAAUUGUACAGU